rnacentral:hammerhead_ribozyme from 1 species
UUCCAAGCUGAAGAGCCCCAAAUAGGACGAAAUGUGCAUCCUGGAU